rnacentral:rRNA from 1 species
GAUGAACGCUGGCGGCGUGCCUAACACAUGCAAGUCGAGCGAUUUACUUCGGUAAAGAGCGGCGGACGGGUGAGUAACGCGUGGGUAACAUGCCCUGUACACACGGAUAACAUACCGAAAGGUAUGCUAAUACGAGAUAAUAUACUUUUAUCGCAUGGUAGAAGUAUCAAAGCUUUUGCGGUACAGGAUGGACCCGCGUCUGAUUAGCUAGUUGGUAAGGUAACGGCUUACCAAGGCGACGAUCAGUAGCCGACCUGAGAGGGUGAGCGGCCACAUUGAAACUGAGAACCGGCCAAAACGCCGAGGGGGGGCAGCGGGGGGGAAUAUUGCACAAUGGGCAAAGGCCUGAUGCACAACCGCCCGGGGAGGGAUAAAGGCCUUCGGGUCGUAAAGCCUUGUCCUAAAGGAAGAUAAUGACGUUACUGGAGGAGGAAGCCCCGGUUAACUACGUGCCAGCCGCCGCCGUAA